GGUAUCGUGGUGCUUUCUGCCAGGAACUGGCCAGCGUUUAAUUGCCUGUUUUUCCCUACCAGGCUCACUUUCGACCUCCUGGCACUGCGUGGCUGUCAUCUGAGAUGUGAUAGUGAAGAGCAGAGAAGUGGGAAGAGGGAGGUGACAGGGAAGCCACAGGAGGAGGAAAUAAAGGUCAUCAAGUGCAGUAUCCCCGUCUCCUGCUGUCACCCUUCCUCAUGGACGCCAGAUUCCCUGUCUCCCGUGCUGAUCAUUAGAGCAGGUCAGCAGGGGCCCAGCCCCACCCUGGACCUUCUGUGCUCACCCAUCAGCCUACAGAUGUCCCUGUAGUGACCAGGUCCUCCCUCCUGUGGCCUGCCCCAUGCAGACAAGAAACAGACUUGCACUUGGGCAGAGACAGGAGCAGGUAGGCAGGGAGGCCUGGUCUUACUUCUUUGCCAUAUUGUCACUGUCACCAGGCACCACCUGCCAGCCUAAAACAGAUCCUGGGUCCUCCUUCCUCA
rnacentral:lncRNA from 1 species